rnacentral:rRNA from 1 species
GAAAAAAAAAGUCGUAUCAAUGCCUCCGUAGGUGAACUUUUGAAAGUAAAAAGUAGUAACAAGGUUUCCGUAGGUGAACCUGCGGAAGGAUCAUU